GAUGAACGCUGGCGGCGUGCCUAAUACAUGCAAGUCGAGCGAACAGACGAGGAGCUUGCUCCUCUGACGUUAGCGGCGGACGGGUGAGUAACACGUGGAUAACCUACCUAUAAGACUGGGAUAGCUUCGGGAAACCGGAGCUAAUACCGGAUAAUAUAUUGAACCGCAUGGUUCAAUAGUGAAAGACGGUUUUGCUGUCACUUAUAGAUGGAUCCGCGCCGCAUUAGCUAGUUGGUAAGGUAACGGCUUACCAAGGCAACGAUGCGUAGCCGACCUGAGAGGGUGAUCGGCCACACUGGAACUGAGACACGGUCCAGACUCCUACGGGAGGCAGCAGUAGGGAAUCUUCCGCAAAGGGCGAAAGCUUGACGGAGCAACGCCGCGUGAGUGAUGAAGGUCUUCGGAUCGUAAAACUCUGUUAUUAGGGAAGAACAAAUGUGUAAGUAACUAUGCACGUCUUGACGGUACCUAAUCAGAAAGCCACGGCUAACUACGUG
rnacentral:rRNA from 1 species